rnacentral:tRNA from 1 species
UGUUCUAUAGUUUAGUGGUAAAACGUGUGCCUCAUGAGUUAAAUCGGUAGUUCGAUUCUACUAGAACCA